CCCGGGGUGAAAAAACUGCCCUUAGUCCCGCCUUGGUGCCCCAUUGGUUAAGAGUGACAGUCAGUCACACAGUGCAUGCAGCCAAUUGACACACCUGCUGUAAUUAUUUAGGCUUGCUCCAGCUUUCCCCAGUCAGGUGUGAGGGGGAGAGCUGGAGACAAAGGAGCUACAGGUUGGUGUUUCCAAACAAUCAGUUACCUCUUUGUUUGUUAUGCACUUUUUUUAACCUUCCAAUAUAAAAAUCAUGUAGAUCUGAAAAGAUCCAGUGAGUUUGGAGCCUUGAAGCUGCCAUGCUCUCUACUGUUAAUGGAAUUGGCCAGGUGAUCCCUUUGUAGGGUUAAAGGAUGGCGAGCUUCUGAAAACUGGCUGGGGCCAGGAGAACCUGAGAAUCACUCCAUACUGGUCUGGUAGGAGGCUGGUCUGUAUCAUUUCCCCCUCCAUCUCACCAUUCGGACACACAAUCCACUAUUCAUCUCUUCAUCUGAAACGACUUGCGCUAGGACAUUGUCAUCUCAAAUAUCUGGACAAUUCAACCAUGGACUUUUUGAAUGUGUGUAGGUCAGACACUGUGCUGACCAGUGGGGAAAUUUAAACCAGUUGUGCACAACUUAAUGAAAGAUCUACUGCAGUACUGUGUAUAUUUAAUUUGGGGUUCUAUGUAUGUUUGUCUUGUGCUGUUCACUUUAAUUUUCUUUUAAAAAUACAUGGUAUUGAAAGCA